AGAAAAAGUGUGAAAAAUCAAGGAAAGCAAGUGAAAAAGGUGAUGAGUCCUCCGAUAAUGGCAAAGAAAUUAUAUCCGAGGACCGGUAGUCAAAGUACUUCGAAAAUCCGCACUCUAUACAUUUAUAAGCUGUAGAUAGUUGAUAUCGUCGAAGGCUACAGUUGGCUUUACUUCCUCAAAAACUAUAAGUUUGCAACCUUCGUUCAUUUUUGUCAUUUAAGACUCCACAUGUCAUUGUAAAUUAAAUUUCAUACUCUAGUUAUCUGUACUACUG